GACGAACGCUGGCGGCGUGCUUAACACAUGCAAGUCGAACGGAAAGGCCCUGCUUGCAGGGUACUCGAGUGGCGAACGGGUGAGUAACACGUGGGUGAUCUGCCCUGCACUUCGGGAUAAGCCUGGGAAACUGGGUCUAAUACCGGAUAGGAGACAUUUUUAGUGUGAUGGAGGGAAAGAUUUUUCGGUGUAGGAUGAGCUCGCGGCCUAUCAGCUUGUUGGUGGGGUAAUGGCCUACCAAGGCGGCGACGGGUAGCCGGCCUGAGAGGGUGGACGGCCACAUUGGGACUGAGAUACGGCCCAGACUCCUACGAGAGGCAGCAGUGGGGAAUAUUGCACAAUGGGCGCAAGCCUGAUGCAGCGACGCCGCGUGUGGGAUGACGGCCUUCGGGUUGUAAACUCCUUUCGCUAGGGACGAAGCUUUUGUGACGGUACCUAGAUAAGAAGCACCGGCUAACUACGUG
rnacentral:rRNA from 1 species